UACAGAGGUCUCAAGCGUUGUUCGGAUUCAUUGGGCGUAAAGGGUGCGUAGGCGGCGCGGUAAGUCGGGUGUGAAAUCUCGGAGCUUAACUCCGAAACUGCAUUCGAUACUGCCGUGCUUGAGGACUGGAGAGGAGACUGGAAUUUACGGUGUAGCGGUGAAAUGCGUAGAUAUCGGGAGGAACACCAGUGGCGAAGGCGGCAUCCUGGACCGACAUUGACGCUGAUGAGCGAAAGCUAGGGGAGCAAACGGG
rnacentral:rRNA from 1 species